GUACCCUACGGGGCGCAGCAGUGGGGAAUAUUGCGCAAUGGGGGAAACCCUGACGCAGCAACGCCGCGUGAGUGAAGAAGGCCUUCGGGUUGUAAAGCUCUUUAAUCAGGGACGAAGAAUGACGGUACCUGAAGAAAAAGCAUCGGCUAACUCCGUGCCAGCAGCCGCGGUAAUACGGAGGAUGCGAGCGUUAUCCGGAUUUAUUGGGUUUAAAGGGUGCGCAGGCGGUCUGUUAAGUCAGCGGUCAAAGCCCGGGGCUCAACCCCGGCCCGCCGUUGAAACUGGCAGUCUCGAGUUGGAGAGAA
rnacentral:rRNA from 1 species